rnacentral:rRNA from 1 species
CAAUAGCGUAUAUUAAAGUUGUUGCAGUUAAAAAGCUCGUAGUUGGAUUUCUGGCUUUAGGUGGUCGGAAGACGCGGCCUUUGGUUAGCGUCGGAAGAUCGCCGGGCCAUCCUUCGUGGAGAGGCGUUCGGCCCUUUACCGGGUCUGGGCGUCGAUCCCGAUCAAUUACUGUGAAAAAAUUAGAGUGUUCAAAGCAGGCGUAUGCUGUGAAUACAUUAGCAUGGAAUAAUAAGAUAGGACUUUGGUUCUGUUUUGUUGGUUAAGGAACUAGAGUAAUGAUUGAUAGGGACGGUUUGGGGGUGCUAGUAUUCAACGGCCAGAGGUGAAAUUCGAUGAUUCGUUGAAGACUAACUAAUGCGAAAGCAUUCACCAAGGACGUCUUCUUUAA